UAUUAAUUCACAUUUCUUCUUUGGAAGAAAGAUUUAAUGAACUUAAGAAAGAGGUUCUGCUCCUACUGAGUGUUGAAUUUGAUGAAGUUGCCCAGCUUAUCACGGUUUAGUGGAGGAGGCUCAGCAUUUGAUAAAAACAUAAGACAGAAAUUCAAGAAGCAAUCCCCUUGAAAGGAGGGAAUUAUUCGUGCAGAGGAUCUCUACUCCUUCCAUUUUUUAGCUCUUUAUUUUUCUUUCUGGUGUAAGCAGCUGUCAGCAAUGGAGGAGGACAGAAGUUAAUGCACUGUUGCGGGGACUUCAGGCCAACUGCAUGAUAUAUCCCAGCUUUGAGGCUGUUUUGGAUGAAUUUCCUGUGUCCUCUUCCCGCAGAACAGCAGUGGGACCCUGGCUUCACCCUCGGGGCUGCGUGUCAGUGACACCCAAUGGCACAGGCACAGGGACGGGGAGAUGGAGCAGUGACAGCGUGGCCAGCUCCAGGCAGUAAAAGAUUGAAACUUCAACCCACCCAAUGCAAUUCCUGUAAACACAAUGUACCGCGAGUUUGAGCAGCGAUGUGUUUGGGAACCAUGAUCCUUCCCAUUUCAGGACUGGUGAAACUGGUCAAAAAUGUGGGUGGUUGCAGAGUGGUUCAUCUAACAGGGCUGGGAUUUUAGCCCAGACCAAACAGUAGGCCAUUUUCAAUUGAUAAAGCCAUGGUACAUAUUCCCCUACAGAGAUCUUUCUUACCUUCCACAAGGUAGGAUGCAGGGCAUCCUUGCCAGGGUUUAAUGCUCCUCGUGGACUUGGGGUUGGGAGGUUCAGCUGAGACAGUUGUUACUGAGGAGCUCACAGUAGGGAAACGGUGUUGAUACCCCAGCUAAAACCUUCACCAUCAAAGCAUCCUGCCUCAGGGAUCAUUUUAUUCUCAGAAAGUGGGACAUAAAUACAGAGUUAAUUGUGACCGGAAUCCAUGGCAAUAACCUGUUUAUGGGAAAGCUCCAUCCCUAGUCUAGAAGAGCUGUAAUCUUACUCUGCCAUCUAAAAUUUGUUGCUUUAUUAAGAUUACAUUCUCUGCCCUCCCCAAAAAGUGAGUUAGUUUGAUAUGUUUAUUGCCCUUUGUCAGGAUGGCAAUAUUUUUUUCUGCUUUGAAAAUAGAUGUUACUGCUUAUAUGGCUGUAUAUUUAUCCUUUCUUUUAGCUUUUUCAUUACUGUUCCCUUUAAUCAUUUAAUGAGGAGUGUUCAGGUUCCUGAUGAUUUAAAAUUAUGACUCACAGAGACACUGGCAAUAUCUUUGCUGGAGUAACGUUGAUCCUCUAACUUUAAGACUUUAAAUUCAAACCACAUGUUUUUGCCACUAACUCUGAAAACAACCCCUGGAGUUGUGUGACUGUCACUCGAAUAUAAACCAUAGCUAUUCUGUAACCCUCUGCAAACAAAAGCCGCAGUAUUUAAAUUGCGGUUAUGGUCAGAGAAGUGACUAUUUUAAUCAUUGCUCUGGUUUACUCGGGAGAUCUGCUCCCUCUGCACAUUCCAAAUAUCUCUGCAGAUUUUUAUAGACUGAAAUGAGAUUUUACUGCUUUCCACUCCUCUUAGCCCUACAGAGGCCAGACAACGCGGGGCGAGUGAGCCAGAUUUGUUCCAGACUCACACAUCAACAUAGCUGUUAGCUGAAUUCCAGCGGCAGGACCUGUGUAACUGAUGAUGUGCCCGCCAGGACAAGCAGCUACACUUUCAUGUCCCCAGGGAGCUCGCGGGGUGCGUGGCAGUUAGGGGUAAAGAACGAGAACCUAAAACACGGUGUUCUCCCUUACCUAUAAAGUAAAUUGUUUUGAAAUGGGAAAAAAAAAAAAAAUCCCUGAGGGGCCUCUCGGGCUGAAAGGGCUCUUUGAACGCAGCUACCUGGAUGCCACCCUGCCCCAGGAGCAGAGGCUCGGAGAGAAGGAAAUCAUGUUUAAAAAAAUGGCAUUACAUGCAGAAGUUGAAGAUGCAUAAGUCUUAAAGGGAUUUUCUGCCGGGUUUUGAGGAGAUAAUUCGCUUUUUGAACAUCUCCCUUACCCUUACGUGAAGUUUCUUGCAGCCUUUUGGGUGCUGAGCUUCAGCCUCUUGGGACUUGCAUAAAGUGGUUCGCUGCCUCCCCCCGCCACUCAAGCCCCUUUUUUUGUGUGUUUGCUGCGUCAAGAAUAAAUCCCAUUUAGAAGGUGGCUGCUUUAACUCA
ensembl:lncRNA